CUUGACAUUUUUCUGCCAACCUAAGAGAUUAGGUGUUCCCUUCGGGGACAGAAUGACAGGUGGUGCAUGGUGGGUGGUCAGCUCGCCCCCCCGAGAUGUUGGGUUAAGUCCCGCAACGAGCGCAACCCUUAUUACUAGUUGCCAGCAUUCAGUUGGGCACUCUAGUGAGACUGCCGGUGACAAACCGGAGGAAGGUGGGGACGACGUCAAAUCAUCAUGCCCCUUAUGACCUGGGCUACACACGUGCUACAAUGGAUGGUACAACGAGUCGCGAAACCGCGAGGUUUAGCUAAUCUCUUAAAACCAUUCUCAGUUCGGACUGUAGGCUGCAACUCGCCUACACGAAGUCGGAAUCGCUAGUAAUCGCGGAUCAGCAUGCCGCGGUGAAUACGUUCCCGGGCCUUGUACACACCGCCCGUCACACCAUGAGAGUUUGUAACACCCAAAGCCGGUGGGGUAACCUUUUAGGAGCUAGCCGUCUAAGGUGGGACAGAUGAUUAGGGUGAAGUCGAACAAGUGGUACG
rnacentral:rRNA from 1 species